GAUUUCUGGCUUGAUACGUUUUGCCGGCCGCGGUUUCGCGUGUUAGUGCUUUGCGUUCUGGCCAUCCUUCCAAUCGCUGUUCAGCUUUCUUCAUUGAUUGUUGAGCGGUAUUGGAUCUUUUACUUUGAAAAAAUUAGAGUGUUUCAAGCAGGCUUUAUGCUAUGAAUACAUUAGCAUGGAAUAAUAAUUUAGGACUUCGGUUCUAUUUUGUUGGUUUCUAGGACUGAAGUAAUGAUUGAUAGGGAUAGUUGGGGGUGCUAGUAUUCAGCGGCCAGAGGUGAAAUUCUCGGAUUCGCUGAAGACUAACUUAUGCGAAAGCAUU
rnacentral:rRNA from 1 species